GUCUACAUUGGAAGAUUUUAGAGUAGAAUUUUUUCUCCAAACCAUCCUUUAGGUCUACAUUUAAGGUGGAAUAUUCCUCCAUACUAACUUUUUUGGUCUACAUUGAAGGAUUUUUUUCUAAACCACCCUUUCGGGUCUAUAUUUGAGGUUUUUGGUGGAAUAUUCCUUUUAACCAGCCCCUCAGGUCUCUUUGAGGAUUUUGGAUGGAAUACUCUGUUAAACCAACAUUUUAGGUGCAUGUCCAAGGAUUUUUGGUGGAAUGUUCCUUUAAGGUGGAUGUGUGAGGACCUUGUAGGUGGAAUACUUCCUGAAACCCACCUUUUAGGUCAACAUUCAAAGAUUUAAGGUGGAAUAUUCCUUUAAAC
ensembl:lncRNA